GUAGGGUGCAAGCGUUAAUCGGGAUUACUGGGCGUAAAGCGUGCGCAGGCGGUUUUGUAAGUCUGUCGUGAAAGCCCCGGGCUUAACCUGGGAAUUGCGAUGGAGACUGCAAGGCUUGAAUCUGGCAGAGGGGGGUAGAAUUCCACGUGUAGCAGUGAAAUGCGUAGAGAUGUGGAGGAACACCGAUGGCGAAGGCAGCCCCCUGGGUCAAGAUUGACGCUCAUGCACGAAAGCGUGGGGGAGCAAACAGGAUUAGAUACCCUGGUAGUCCACGCCCUAAACGAUGUCUACUAGUUGUCGGGUCUUAAUUGACUUGGUAACGCAGCUAACGCGUGAAGUAGGCCGCCUGGGGAUACGGUCGCAAGAUUA
rnacentral:rRNA from 1 species